ACAAUCAAUAAGCGGAGGAAAAGAAACCAACAGGGAUUGCCCUAGUAACGGCGAGUGAAGCGGCAUCAGCUCAAAUUUGAAAUCUGGCUCUUUCAGGGUCCGAGUUGUAAUUUGCAGAGGGCGCUUUGGUGUUGGCAGCGGUCCAAGUUCCUUGGAACAGGACGUCACAGAGGGUGAGAAUCCCGUACGUGGUCGCUGGCCUUCGCCGUGUAAAGCCCCUUCGACGAGUCGAGUUGUUUGGGAAUGCAGCUCUAAAUGGGAGGUAAAUUUCUUCUAAAGCUAAAUACUGGCCAGAGACCGAUAGCGCACAAGUAGAGUGAUCGAAAGAUGAAAAGCACUUUGGAAAGAGAGUCAAAUAGCACGUGAAAUUGUUGAAAGGGAAGCGCUUGCAGCCAGACUUGCCUGUAGUUGCUCAUCUAGGCUCUUUGCCUAGUGCACUCUUCUGCGGGCAGGCCAGCAUCAGUCUAGGCGGUUGGAUAAAGGCCUCUGUCAUGUACCUCCUCUCGGGGAGGCCUUAUAGGGGAGGCGUAAUGCAACCAGCCUGGACUGAGGUCCGCGCAUCUGCUAGGAUGCUGGCGUAAUGGCUGUAAGCGGCCCGUCUUGAAACACGGACCAAGGAGUCUAACAUCUAUGCGAGUGUUUGGGUGUCAAGCCCGAGCGCGUAAUGAAAGUGAACGGAGGUGGGAUCCCUUUAGGGUGCACCAUCGACCGAUCCUGAUGUCUUCGGAUGGAUUUGAGUAAGAGCAUGGCUGUUGGGACCCGAAAGAUGGUGAACUAUGCUUGAAUAGGGUGAAGCCAGAGGAAACUCUGGUGGAGGCUCGCAGCGGUUCUGACGUGCAAAUCGAUCGUCAAAUUUGGGCAUAGGGGCGAAAGACUAAUCGAACUAUCUAGUAGCUGGUUCUGC
rnacentral:rRNA from 1 species